CAACUGGUCUUUUUUGAGACCACCAUAACUCUGAUACCCAAACUAG
rfam:Equus caballus chromosome 2, whole genome shotgun sequence.